rnacentral:tRNA from 1 species
GGGGAUUUAGCUCAGUGGUAGAGCGCUUGCCAAGCAAACGCAAGGCCCUGGGUUCAGUCCCCA